CCUACGGGUGGCAGCAGUAAGGAAUAUUGGUCAAUGGACGCAAGUCUGAACCAGCCAUGCCGCGUGAAGGAUGAAGGUCCUCUGGAUUGUAAACUUCUUUUAUCUGGGACGAAAAAAGGGAAUUCUUUCUCACUUGACGGUACCAGAGGAAUAAGCACCGGCUAACUCCGUGCCAGCAGCCGCGGUAAUACGGAGGGUGCAAGCGUUAUCCGGAUUCACUGGGUUUAAAGGGUGCGUAGGUGGGCAGGUAAGUCAGUGGUGAAAUCUCCGGGCUUAACUCGGAAACUGCCAUUGAUACUAUCUGUCUUGAAUAUCCUGGAGGUGAGCGGAAUAUGUCAUGUAGCGGUGAAAUGCUUAGAUAUGACAUAGAACACCAAUUGCGAAGGCAGCUCGCUACGGGAAAAUUGACACUGAGGCACGAAAGCGUGGGGAUCAAACAGGAUUAGAUACCCCAGUAGUC
rnacentral:rRNA from 1 species